UACGUAGGGGGCAAGCGUUGUCCGGAAUUACUGGGCGUAAAGCGUGCGCAGGCGGUUCGUUGUGUCGGUGGUGAAAGCCCCGGGCUUAACCUGGGAAUGGCCGUCGAAACUGGCGAACUGGAGUGUGGCAGAGGGGGGUGGAAUUCCGCGUGUAGCAGUGAAAUGCGUAGAGAUGCGGAGGAACACCGAUGGCGAAGGCAGCCCCCUGGGCUGACACUGACGCUCAGGCACGAAAGCGUGGGGAGCAAACAGG
rnacentral:rRNA from 1 species